AGGGAUGCAGUCUGGGACACGUAGUUGCAAACCUAGCGACUUUGUUGUUAGAUUCAAUGACUUUUCAGACCCCCUAACGACUUUUUUUUAGAAAGAAAGGGACUUUUAUCGACUUCUUCUGGAGUUUAGAGACUCUGACAUGAAGCAGGCUUUCCUUACUGAGGAGUUAGCAACGCUGCUAAGGGUGCAGAGCCACACAUGCGCUCAGAGCUCUGCAUGGGAGACUGAAGCUGACAGAGCUGCAGCAGUUAGCAGGUUUCACCCUCAGAGACCACCAGGGGUUCAUGUUGAGGCAUUUUAAUUUUUUUUUUUUUUUUGUGCCAUAGACACUGUCAGCACAAUCUGCGGAUACACUAACAAAAAUGCUGCAAAAAACAAAGAAUUAUGGAAAAAUUACACAUGGACUGACAUAGAGGAGGAUCUACACAAGUUUUUUACAUCAUGUUUUACAUCAUGCAUCAUUUACAUCAUGUUUUUUUGUAGUGGCAUAAAGAAAAAGUGACAUUUGUGAGACUAUACAGUGUUUUGUAAAUAAUUUUACAAAGAACGCCUGGGCCAUUGCCUGCAUUUUGAUGUAAAUAGAGGUAAAUCACUAUGUUCUUUGUUAAAAAUUUGCAUAUGUUUUGAAGUUUACAAUUUUUAUUUGAAGUUUAAGUUUUAAAAACAGUUCAUCACACAUAUUUGUGGUUUUCACAGUAAAAAUGUUACUUUUUUCCACUCGGAUUUUAUGUUUUGUGUGUGAAUUUGGGUCCAUUGUGUAAAUUCAGUAUGUCAACAUGAUAAAAUAACUGUAAAUUCGCACAGGUGAGGUUGUGCUGAAAAAAAUGAUACCAGGCAAGGCACGUGAGUGUCAAAUUUUGUGUCAAUAUGACAAAGCGUAUAGGCGUGAAUCUCAACAAUAUGUAUUUUCACCUUAGGGGACAAGAAAAAAUGGACUUUUUUCUCCUGCCAUGGGGGGACGCUCUUUUGGGGAGUAAAAAUUCCUUCACAAAUGUGUUGAUGGCUGGACAUUGCAUCAUCCUAGAAAACUUGGAGGCCAGUGAGGACAAAAAUAAAAAGUUAUAAGACUUUUAAAUAUGUGGAUUUUAGGGUUAUCUUUGGCGCCCCCUAGAACCUAAACCGUGGGGUGCAGCGUCAUGAUUUGAAUAACUUUUAAUGGCCAUGGGGUGUAGAUUGGCCUGAGCAAAUGUGGUGCCGGUGGAACGAAAGCCUUAGGAGGAGUUAGCGAAAUUCCAAUGUGUGCGGAUCGGCAAAAAAUGCGGAAUAACCCUUUAACCGUACAUUUGACAGAUACGCGCGCAUUGACUUUUUCGUAGAUCUUAUUGAGUUACAUGUGUGUGUCAAUUUUUGUGUCAUUUUGACAAAGCGUAUAGGCGUGACACUCAACAAUGUGUAUUUUCACCUUAGGGGACAAGAAAAAAUGGACUUUUUUCUCCUGCCAUGGGGGGGCGCUCUUUUGGGGAGUAAAAAUUCCUUCACAAAUGUGUUGAUGGCUGGACAUUGCAUCAUCCUAGAAAACUUGGAGGCCAGUGAGGGCAAAAAUAAAAAGUUAUAAAACUUUUAAGAAUGUGGAUUUUAGGGUUAUUUUUGGCGCCCCCUAGAACCUAAACCAUGGGGUGCAGCAUCAUGAUUUGUACAACUUUGAAUGGCCAUGGAGCGUAGAUUGGCCUGAGCAAAUGUGGUGCCGGUGGAACGAAAGCCUUCGGAGGAGUCAGCGAAAUUCCAAUGUGUGCGGAUCUGCAAAAAAUGCGAAAUAACCCUUUAACCGUACAUUUGACAGAUACGCCCGCACUGACUUUUUUGUAGAUCUUAUUGAGAUACAUGUGUGUGUCAAUUUUUGUGUAAAUAUGACAAAGCGUACAGGCGUGACAGUCAAUAGUGUGAAUUUUCACCUUAGGGGGCGCUAUGGAGCCAUUUUGUAUUUUAUUGUUUGGGCGAUUUCAGAAUAUCGAAUUUUUCACCAGGCCCGGUCGUCCUGCCAAAUUUCCUGAGUUUUCGCCAGUGGGAAGUGGGCCAUUUUCCAGUUUAAAGCGGAGGAAAAAUAAUAAUAAUAAUAACAAACUAGGGCCCCGUUGGGGCACUGGCGGGCCCGAGCCGCGUCGCGCCACCUCCAGCGCGACCGCCUCCCUGAUCCAUUAGGUUUAAAUAGAAAAAGCAUUAAAAUAUGUUAGGAUUAUAGCAUAUGACAAAUGUGUGCCUCUCAGUGGCCAUAACUACUUUGUCUGCUGGCUCUGCAGUCGAUUGACGCUCCCCAGCGUUCAAGUCACAUGACAAAUUUAACCGGAUGUAGCUGCAAGACGGAGCUUCGUUGACUCUCUGUUUCAAGUUAUCUCCAAAGUGAGGACCUUAAACUAUAUACCAGUUUUUAAAUUGUGUUGAUAGGCCAAAUAAAACCAGAGUUAUGAUAAAUUAUGUCUGCGAUACUUUUUUUCUGCUUAUUUUGAUCACGUUCGGCGCUCGAUCGCGCUGUAUGAGACAGGAAAACAUAGCAUGCAGACAUUAGCGGCAGCUCUUACAGGCGGAAAAGGCUUGCCAAAAGAAAAAAAAAAAAACACACCACAACAUCUCUCCUAUUGGUGGAAAACUUCACCACAACAACCAAUCCAAAAUUAUAUGGUGACUGAUUGACAAGGGGCGGGCGCUUACGUUCUUCCUGCAACAUGAGAAGGGAUGGAGGGACUCUCAGCAGGGAUGCAGUCUGGGACACGUAGUUGCAAACCUAGCGACUUUGUUGUUAGAUUCAAUGACUUUUCAGACCCCCUAACGACUUAUUUUUUUAAAGAAAGGGACUUUUAUCGACUUCUUCUGGAGUUUAGAGACUCUGACAUGAAGCAGGCUUUCCUUACUGAGGAGUUAGCAACGCUGCUAAGGGUGCAGAGCCACACAUGCGCUCUGAGCUCUGCAUGGGAGACUGAAGCUGACAGAGCUGCAGCAGUUAGCAGGUUUCACCCUCAGAGACCACCAGGGGUUCAUGUUGAGGCAUUUUCAGUUUGUUUUAUUGUUUUUUUGCCAUAGACACUGUCAGCACAAUCUGCAGUUACACUAACAAAAAUGCUGGACAAAACAAAGAAUUAUGGAAAAAUUACACAUGGACUAACAUAGAGGAGGAUCUACACAAGUUUUUUACAUCAUGUUUUACAUCAUGCAUCAUUUACAUCAUGUUUUUUUUGUAGUGGCAUAAAUAAAAAGUGACAUUUGUGAGACUAUACAGUGUUUUGUAAAUAAUUUUACAAAGAACGCCUGGGCCAUUGCCUGCAUUUUGAUGUAAAUAGAGGUAAAUUACUAUGUUCUUUGUUAAAAAUUUGCAUAUGUUUUGAAGUUUAAAAAUUUUAUUUGAUGUUUAAGUUUUAAAAACAGUUCAUCACACAUAUUUGUGGUUUUCAGAGUAAAAAUGUUACUUUUUUCCACUCGGAUAUUAUGUUUUGUGUGUGAAUUUGGGUCCAUUGUGUAAAAACAGUAUGUGAAAAUGAUAAAAUAACUGUAAAGUCACACAGGUGAGGUUGUGCUGAAAAAAAUGAUACCAGGCAAGGCAAGGUAAAAAAUUUUUAAGAGGAAAUAUAAAGGUAAAAUCUAAAGUAGUCAAAAACGGCCAAUAGUGACUCCCAGUCUCCAUAGACAAGUCCCUUUGGCGCCACUCAGUGGGCAAAACUACUUUGUCUGCUGUAAUGUAUAUUUGGGUCAUCUUUGGCGCCCCCUAGAACGUAAACCGUGGGGUGCAGCGUCAUGAUUUUUACAACUUUGAAUGGCCAUGGGUUGUAGAUUGGCCUGAGCAAAUUUGGUGUCAUUGGGACGAAAGCCUUAGGAGGAGUUAGCGAAAUUCCAAUGUGUGCAAAUCGGCAAAAAAUACAAAAUAGCCCUUUUACCGUACAUUAUACACAUACGUGCUCUUUGACUUUUUCGUAGAUCUUAUUGAGAUACACGUGAUUGUCAAAUUUUGUGUCAAUAUGACAAAGCGUUCAGGCAUGACACUCAACAAUGUGUGUUUUCACCUUAGGGGACAAGAAAAAAUGGACUUUUUUCUCCUGCCAUGGGGGGGCGCUCUUUUGGGGAGUAAAAAUUCCUUCACAAAUGUGUUGAUGGCUGGACAUUGCAUCAUCCUAGAAAACUUGGAGGCCAGUGAGGACAAAAAUAAAAAGUUAUAAGACUUUUAAAUAUGUGGAUUUUAGGGUUAUCUUUGGCGCCCCCUAGAACCUAAACCGUGGGGUGCAGCGUCAUGAUUUGUACAACUUUUAAUGGCCAUGGGGUGUAGAUUGACCUGAGCAAAUUUGGUGCCGGUGGAACGAAAGCCUUCGGAGGAGUUAGCGAAAUUCCAAUGUGUGCGGAUCUGCAAAAAAUGCGAAAUAGCCCUAUAACCGUACAUUAUACAGAUACGCGCUCUUUGACUUUUUCGUAGAUCUUAUUGAGAUACAUGUGAUUGUCAAAUUUUGUGUCAAUAUGACAAAGCGUUCAGGCGUGACACUCUACAAUGUGUAUUUUCACCUUAGGGGACAAGAAAAAAUUGACUUUUUUCACCUGCCAUGGGGGGGCGCUCUUUUGGGGAGUAAAAAUUCCUUCACAAAUGUGUUGAUGGCUGGACAUUGCAUCAUCCUAGAAAACCUGGAGGCCAGUGAGGACAAAAAUAAAAAGUUAUAAGACUUUUAAGAAUGUGGAUUUUUGGGUUAUCUUUGGCGCCCCCUAGAACGUAAACCGUGGGGUGCAGCGUCAUGAUUUGUACAACUUUUGAUGGCCAUGGGGUGUAGAUUGGCCUGAGCAAAUUUGGUGCCAGUGGAACGAAAGCCUUUGGAGGAGUUAGCGAAAUUCCAAUGUGUGCGGAUCGGGAAAAAAUGCGAAAUAGCCCUUUAACGGUACAUUUGACAGAUACGCCCGAACUGACUUUUUUGUAGGUCUUAUUGAGAUACACAUGUGUGUCAAAUUUUGUGUCAUUUUGACAAAGCGUACAGGCGUCAGGUGAAUUUUCACCAUAGGGGGCGCUAUGGAGCCAUUUUUCAUUUUUUUGUUUGGGCGACUUCAGAAUAUCGAAUUUUUCACCAGGCCCGGUCGUCCUGCCAAAUUUCCUGAGUUUUCGCCAGUGGGAAGUGGGCCAUUUUCCAGUUUAAAGCGGAGGAAAAAUAACGAAAGAAGAAUCCAUCAGGAACAAGAGGGCUCUCGCAGCUGCUUAGCAGCUACGCUCGGGCCCUAACUAGGACCCCGUUGGGGCACUGGCGGGCCCGAGCUGUGUCGCGUCCCCCCCCCAACGCGCUGCCUCCCCGUCCCAUUUGUGUCCUCUGGCCAUCGCCCUCUCUGGUAACGCCCAUCACUGCAAAGACCCUUUUCCUUCAUCGGCGUUUGCUGUUCUUCCUGCCAGUGCGUGUUGCUUUCACUUACACUUGCCACAGCCAGCCUCGUGAGUGCCUAGCCUAUUGGAUAUCACUGUCACCUACACAGGACAGUCAUUACCUUUCUAUUAAUACUUUGUUUUUUAAUUUCACAUUAAUUUCCAUAUUGUAUAAACAACUGGAAAAAACUUGAGCCCCUGCCCCUGUAUAAUCAUGUGCACGUCUCUGUUCUAGCUCUAAGGUGAAUCUUCACUGCUCAUGUUCUCCUCAGAAGCAGUCACCUCACUCCCCUCAGGUUACUGUACACAUGCACCAACUGCCUGCUUCAGGUUUGGAUGGAGCUUCAUGGUUGUCUUUUGGAGAAAUGACCAGUCAAGUUGUGUUUGAAAUUUGAUUUUUUUCAGGGGCAAAAGGAGCCUCUGCAUUCUUGUCAAAUAUGUAAAUAGCAUGUUUUUGCAGGUGCUAAAAACCAGACUCUGAGUGUGUGUGUGUGUGUGUGUGUGUGUGUGUGUGUGUGUGUGUGUGUGUGUGUGUGUGUGUGUGUGUGCGUUCAAGUCACAUGACAUAUUUAACCGGAUGUAGCUGCAAGACGGAGCCUCGUUGACUCUCCGUUUCAAUUUAUCUCAAAAGUGAGGACCUCAACCUAUAUACCAGUUUUUAAAUUGUGUUGAUAGGCCAAAUAAAACCAGAGUUAUGAUAAAUUAUGUCCACAAUACUUGUUUUCUGCUUAUUUUGAUCACGUUCGGCGCUCGAUUGCGCUGUAUGAGACAGGAAAACAUAGCAUGCAAACAUUAGCUACAGGUCUUACAGGCGGAAAAGGCUUGCCAAAGAAAAAAAAAAACACACCACAACAUCUCUCCUAUUGGUGGAAAACUUCACCACAACAACCAAUCCAAAAUUAUAUGGUGACUGAUUGACAAGGGGCGGGAACUUACGUUCUUCCUGCAAUAUGAGAAGGGAGGGAGGGACUCUCAGCAGGGAUGCAGUCUGGGACACGUAGUUGCAAACCUAGCGACUUUGUUGUUAGAUUCAAUGACUUUUCAGACCCCCUAACGACUUUUUUUUAGAAAGAAAGUGACUUUUAUUGACUUCUUCUGGAGUUUAGAGACUCUGACAUGAAGCAGGCUUUCCUUACUGAGGAGUUAGCAACGCUGCUAAGGGUGCAGAGCCACACAUGCGCUCCGAGCUCUGCAUGGGAGACUGAAGCUGACAGAGCUGAAGCAGUUAGCAGGUUUCACCCUCAGAGACCACCAGGGGUUCAUGUUGAGGCAUUUUCAGUUUUUUUUUUUUUUUUGCCAUAGACACUGUCAGCACAAUCUGCAGUUACACUAACAAAAAUGCUGCAAAAAACAAAGAAUUAUGGAAAAAUUACACAUGGACUAACAUAGAGGAGGAUCUACACAAGUUUUUUACAUCAUGUUUUACAUCAUGCAUCAUUUACAUCAUGUUUUUUUGUAGUGGCAUAAAUAAAAAGUGACAUUUGUGAGACUUUACAGUGUUUUGUAAAUAAUUUUACAAAGAACACCUGGGCCAUUGCCUGCAUUUUGAUGUAAAUAGAGGUAAAUUACUAUGUUCUUUGUUAAAAAUUUGCAUAUGUUUUGAAGUUUACAAUUUUUAUUUGAAGUUUAAGUUUUAAAAACAGUUCAUCACACAUAUUUGUGGUUUUCACAGUAAAAACGUUACUUUUUUCCACUCGGAUUUUAUGUUUUGUGUGUGAAUUUGGGUCCAAUGUGUAAAUAUAGUAUGUCAAAAUGAUAAAAUAACUGUAAAUUGACACAGGUGAGGUUGUGCUGAAAAAAAUGAUACCAGGCAAGGCAAGGUAAAAAUUUUGUAAGAGGAAAUAUAAAGGUAAAAUCUAAAGUAGUCAAAAACGGCCAAUAGUGACUCACAGACUCCACAGACAAGUCCCUUUGGCGCCACUCAGUGGGCAAAACUACUUUGUCUACUGUAAUGUAUAUUUGGGUCAUCUUUGGCGCCCCCUAAAACGUAAACCGUGGGGUGCAGCGUCAUGAUUUUUACAACUUUGAAUGGCCAUGGAGUGUAGAUUGGCCUGAGCAAAUUUGGUGUCAGUGGGACGAAAGCCUUAGGAGGAGUUAGCGAAAUUCCAAUGUGUGCGAAUCGGCAAAAAAUGCAAAAUAGCCCUUUUACCGUACAUUAUACAGAUACGCGCUCUUUGACUUUUUCGUAGAUCUAAUUGAGAUACACAUGAUUGUCAAUUUUUGUGUCAUUUUGCCAAAGCGUACAGGCGUGACAGUCAACAAUGUGUAUUUUCAACUUAGGGGACAAGAAAAAAUGGACUUUUUUCUCCUGCCAUGGGGGGGCGCUCUUUUGGGGAGUAAAAAUUCCUUCACAAAUGUGUUGAUGGCUGGACAUUGCAUCAUCCUAGAAAACUUGGAGGCCAGUGAGGACAAAAAUAAAAAGGUAUAAGAAAUUUAAAAAUGUGGAUUUUUGGGUUAUCUUUGGCGCCCCCUAGAACGUAAACCGUGGGGUGCAGCGUCAUGAUUUGAAUAACUUUUAAUGGCCAUGGGGUGUAGAUUGGCCUGAGCAAAUGUGGUGCCGGUGGAACGAAAGCCUUUGGAGGAGUUAGCGAAAUUCCAAUGUGUGCGAAUCGGCAAAAAAUGCGGAAUAACCCUUUAACCGUACAUUUGACAGAUACGCGCGCAUGGACUUUUUUGUAGAUCUUAUUGAGAUACAUGUGUGUGUCAAUUUUUGUGUCAUUUUGACAAAGCGUACAGGCGUGACACUCAACAAUGUGUAUUUUCACCUUAGGGGACAAGAAAAAAUGGACUUUUUUCUCCUGCCAUGGGGGGGCGCUCUUUUGGGGAGUAAAAAUUCCUUCACAAAUGUGUUGAUGGCUGGACAUUGCAUCAUCCUAGAAAACUUGGAGGCCAGUGAGGGCAAAAAAUAAAAAGUUAUAAGACUUUUAAAUAUGUGGAUUUUAGUGUUAUCUUUGGCGCCCCCUAGAACCUAAACCGUGGGGUGCAGGGUCAUGAUUUGAAUAACUUUUAAUGGCCAUGGGGUGUAGAUUGGCCUGAGCAAAUGUGGUGCCGGUGGAACGAAAGCCUUCGGAGGAGUUAGCGAAAUUCCAAUGUGUGCGGAUCGGCAAAAAAUGCGCAAUAACCCUUUAACCGUACAUUUGACAGAUACGCCCGCACUGACUUUUUUGUAGAUCUUAUUGAGAUACAUGUGUGUGUCAAUUUUUGUGUCAUUUUGACAAAGCGUACAGGCGUGACAGUCAAUAGUGUGAAUUUUCACCAUAGGGGGCGCUAUGGAGCCAUUUUUCAUUUUUUUGUUUGGGCGACUUCAGAAUAUCAAAUUUUUCACCAGGCCCGGUCGUCCUGCCAAAUUUCCUGAGUUUUCGUCAGUGGGAAGUGGGCCAU